rnacentral:rRNA from 1 species
GUCUACAGCCGUGACCCCCUGAACAAGCCCGAUCCUGUCUGAUCUCAGAAGCUAAGCAGGGUCGGCCUGGUUACUACUUGGAUGGAGACUGCCUAGGAAGACCAGGUGCUGUAGGCG